AGCAAGUUGCUCGGGGUAAAUUAAUGAGUUUAUAAAAUAAAUUCACAAUGAAAAUUUUAUAUUAAUCUCCAUGCAAUCUCUGUGCAAGCACACAAUAAGAUCAGUUGGAAAAGAAAAUUUUAGCUUUCUUAUAUCAAUUUUUAUGAUCCCCUUUUAUUAGGAAUGGACUUCAAUCCAUUUUUAGAUAUAAUAGACAUGUAGGUCAAUUCACCUCUUAUAGAGUUUGUGUAAAUCUAGGCUUCCUAUCUGUUAAUUCUCGUAUAUGCCAAUACAUAACCUCAUCCUAACCCAAGAGAAAACUUAGAAGUGGAUAAUAGGAAGGCAAUUCGCUCAUAAACUUAAGGAACGCUGAGCGGAUGGACACUCUAAAUAACUCAAGUUCCCAAUUAAUCUCCACAAAAUCAUUGAGUUAAUACUGGUCAAAUGAUAUUAAGCUUUGUGAACUGAAAAAUUAUUGCAGUUAUGUAUCACAUAGGUCCAGCCCAUUAGAAACAAUGAAUACUAACGACAAUCAUCAGGAGAGCAAUACUAGUCAGGUCUAGUAAAAUCUCAUCCAAUUUAGUGAAUCUCUUAGACUUCUCAAAAAAAUACCAAAAAAAGGCAACCUUUUG
rnacentral:misc_RNA from 1 species